GAACUGCGAUAAGUAAUGUGAAUUGCAGAAUUCAGUGAAUCAUCGAAUCUUUGAACGCACAUUGCGCCCGCCAGCACUCUGGCGGGCAUGUCUGUUCGAGCGUCAUUUCAACCCUCAGAACCCCUUGCGGGAUCUGGCGUUGGGGAUUGGCAUCCAGCCAGCCCCGAAAUCUAGUGGCGGUCCCUCCGCGACCUCCCCUGUGCAGUAGCGAUACCUCGCAGCGGGACAGCGGUCUGACCACGCCGUAAAACCCCCAACUUCUCAAGGUUGACCUCGAAUCAGGUAGGAAUACCCGCUGAACUUAAGC
rnacentral:misc_RNA from 1 species